AUGCACGCUGCCAGAAUGCUUAACACAUGCAAGUCUUUGGCGAAGCUGUGCUUGCACAGCCUAGCCAAGGCGGACGGGUGAGUAACGCGUAAGGAACUUGCCCUGCAGUCAGGGAUAACAGACGGAAACGACUGAUAAGACCUGGUAAAGUCAGGCGGACUCAUGUCCAGCCUGAUGAAAAGAGAUGCUGCAGGAGAGCCUUGCGUCCUAUUAGCUUGUUGGUGGGGUAACGGCCCACCAAGGCGAUGAUAGGUAGCCGGCCUGAGAGGGUGGACGGCCACAAGGGGACUGAGAUACGGCCCUUACUCCUACGGGAGGCAGCAGUGGGGAAUAUUGGACAAUGGGGGCAACCCUGAUCCAGCAAUUCUGUGUGCACGAUGAAGGUUUUCGGAUUGUAAAGUGCUUUCAGCAGGGAAGAAAAAAAUGACGGUACCUGCAGAAGAAGCGACGGCUAAAUACGUG
rnacentral:rRNA from 1 species